rnacentral:rRNA from 1 species
UACGUAGGGGGCAAGCGUUGUCCGGAAUCAUUGGGCGUAAAGAGCGUGUAGGCGGCUUGGCAAGUCUGACGUGAAAUCCCGCGGCUCAACCGCGGUCGGUCGUUGGAAACUGCCUGGCUAGAGUCCGGAAGAGGAGAGUGGAAUUCCUGGUGUAGCGGUGGAAUGCGCAGAUAUCAGGAGGAACACCGGUGGCGAAGGCGGGUCUCUGGGCAACAACUGACGCUGAGGAGCGAAAGCGUGGGGAGCGAACAGG